GUUACUUGAAUUUGGGAAAUACAAUUAUGGAAUGGAAAAUUCAGGAUACCUGCUUCAACAAGCCUGCGUGGUGGGACGCCGUGUUAGCGAACAAUGAACUCAUGCAACAGGAGACCCGAGGAUGAUGGCGAGAGAUCAAAAGAGGAUUUGUUUUAAUCAAUAGGAGCAAAGGGACAAAGAAGAUAAGCAGAGAUUCUUUGCUUGACAGUGCAUCAAAACAAGAGAUUUUGACAGUAGUAGAUGAAGGGGCCAUUGAAGAUGUUGGCCAACGUAUCUGGUAAUUUAGGAGGCUGUUUGGUUUUAGGUGAUUCAACAGUACGUAGUUGGAUAUGUGUUUGUGUGGUUGGAGACUUGAAGUGAAGUGAUUGAGGUCCCCACUGUGAAACACCACCCGCAAACAUCGCGCCAAAUAUCAAACAAUCAAAGCCUCAGUUUUGAACCUAAACCAGAAGGCAAUGGUCUGAUAGACUAUUACUUACCUAUCAAUCCUAUACCAACCAAUGUAUUUGCUUGUGGUCCUAGCCAUAUUUAUAUAUAUAACGUAGUAAUGUCUCGAGCAUUA